rfam:Clostridium cadaveris strain NLAE-zl-G419 genome assembly, contig: Ga0070261_106
UUAUAAUAAAGAGGAAUUUGAUUAAUGUAAAUCUGUUUUUAGGAAGAAGGGUGUCAUUCCCUCACUGUCGCGCAACUGUGAUAGAUGAGUGCAAAACAAUAUGCCACUGGAGGUCAGUCUUUGGGAAGGCCGUUUUGUGCAAUGAAGCUUAAGUCAGGAUACUAAAAGAUUUACAGUACACUGC